UGACGGAGGCAUUGCUGGCCACAUAGUCCAGGGCCAGCCAGAGGUCACAAGCCAGCGUGCCCAGAGCCCAGUGGCCCAUGAGCAGUAGGUCCUGCUAUCCCCAGUUUGCAAAAGGCCUAACCUGAGGCUUCAAGACCUGAAGGACCUUACAGCUCAUCAGCGAUGCAACCAGGAUUUGGAUCCAGGCCGUCUGCCUCCGAGACCAACCUCUUGAACCCUACUCCUGCCCUUGAGGGGUUGCGGGGGUUUGCCAGCCUCCUUGCCCACCUCAGCUAGCUUACUCAAGCCCAACUUUGAAUCAGUUAACGAUGAGCAAUCGGUCCUUCUUUCAGAAUCUGGCCUCCUUUGUGUGCGCGGCAGUGUCUGUCGUAUAUCUGUGUGAUGUGUGAUAACAGUGCUGUGGGAAGAGGGUGGGUCUACUGGAGCUCUUUAAAGGGCAGGGUAAGGGCUGCGUCUGUCUCAUUCAAUGCUUUAUCCCAGGGCUUGGCAGAUAGUAGUUGCUCAAUAAAUACCUGUGGAAUAAAUGUACGUGUGUGUACUCAACUUCAGACCCUGGAGCCUGAGGGUGAACCUGUGGGGGUCAGGACCAGGUCCAGAGCAUGGUCCAGAGGCCCCUCUUCUCCCUUGAGCUCCCACAUCUCAUCUGCCAGGUCCCUGCUUCCCUGAGUGAGGCCCUGCCUGGCUGGAGAGCAUAGGAGAAAAACAGCCAAGAGCAUCCUUGUCUGUAAAGUGGACCAAGGAAACCCUGCCUCACCCGGCUGCAGGGAAGCUAAGUGAGGUGCCAGGACAGACAUGGACGUGCCAAAGCAUUUGUCACUGGGGAGAGGAGAAUGUUAGCCUGGGCUCAAAGGGUUAAGGGAUGAGGUCAGAGCCUUUAUUACAGCAGGCCAGACUGUUGACUCCCAGCGCCCAGGACCAAUCCCUAGGGGCUGGGGAUCUGGCUUGUGAGAGCAACUGGGAGUGGAGAGAACCACUGGGGGAGGCAGGGAAAGGGAAAUGGGGAGAGGGAUUCCUGAACACCAGGCUUUUCUGAACGUACCGCUGGCCAAAGAGUACAGAAGGGGAGGGAGGGAAUGAGGGGAUGCUGGGGAAGAUAUUUAGGAGGGAGGAGCGGAGCCAUCUUGUGAUUCUGGGCCUGGAAGCUGGUAGAGUCCUGGUUAGGAAGAGGGGAUAACAUUGGGGAGUGGGAGGUAUGUGGAGGGGGCUGUGGGGUUGGGCACCUGAGGCCUCACAUAUGCAAUGAGGAGGGCGCUCCUUCUGGCCAGGUCUACUCACUGAUCCCUUCUGCUAGGGCCUGACCCCAGAAGCCAGCCCAUACGAGGCAGCUCUCCCCUCGGGGUUAACUUUUCUUUGACAGCAGCUCUUGACCCAUUAAGGUGCACAAAACUUCCACCCCUGAUGUCUGGCUUUGAGAAUGAGGGAGUAAACAGAAUUUAUCACAUUUUUAAGGCUCAACAGUUGCCAUUGGGAGGGCCAACUAGUCUUGUGGAGGGCAGCAGCCAUCAGUUAAAUGCUACAUGAAACACACUGCUUAGCUGGAAGAGAAGCAUCAGCCCUAGAAUCACUGCCAAAUUUGCUCACCCAUGAUGGAUCUUAAGCAGUUGCCUGACUUUGGCCAGACCAUGACAGAGCCUGGGCAUGAGCAGCUGGACCCUAGACCUCACUCUGCCAGUGUGGCAUCAGAGGUUCUGGGUCCCUCAUCCUCCUCUCCGCAAGCCCCCUGCUCCUGGCUCCUUGCACUCUCCUCCUCAUUUCCUUUCUUCUCUCUCCCUCCCUCCUCCAUCCUUGUAGGCAUCACCAUGGCACCACAGCAGAGCAGAAACCCAGCGCAAUUCACCCACCUCUCCCCGCCUGCUGGGAGCCCAAGCUUCUGCGUCUCAGAGCUUACUGCGCCCCCUGCUCUCCCACCCCAUCUUCCUGCUCAUGGAGGCGGCAGCGCAGUGUUGUGCUGAGGAUGCGGAGAAGGGGUCCGAGCCCCAGCUGGAUCCCUACAUAUCCCUUCUCCGACCAUGAGCAUGUCCCUUUCCCUUUCUCAGCCUCAGUCCCUCCAUACAAUAGAAAGCCUCCUUUCUAGGUCUGACAUGACCUCUGGUUAGCCCCUUCUUGACACUUUGGACUCCCCAUUACACUUCAGAAUCCAGUUCUCAGAACUCCAACCGCCAGCUGUCAGCUGCGAGCCAAGACCCACAUCUUCUGCAGCCCAUUUCACUAUCUCCUUCCCUUUCAUAUCUCAGCCGCGAUAGCGACUGCAGCUUGCCUGGUGGCUGAGGUCAGAGGGCAGAGAACUCUCAUCUGACAGCCCACUGAACAGCUGAUUACCCUGAGAAAGGAGACUGUCUGGCUACUGGAGACUGCCUGACUCCUUCCAGCCAGUUGGGCAGGGGUCUUGGGUCAGUCUGGGUGGAGCUGCAGGUGUGUUUUGUGCAAAGAUGUGAACCCCUCUCCAUUGGCUCUGAUAACCUCUAAGCUGCACAUGUCUGGAUGACCUAAUGAGAGCUGACGACCCCCUCCCCAGCUGGCCUGCCCAGGAGCUGACAACUCUACAAGCAUCAGAGUUCCUGGCCCCUAGCCCAUCCCCAUGUUGUGCAGUCUGCGGGCACUGGGGAACCUCUCCGAGCAAAUAAAUGGCAAACAUGUGUUGAGAGUCUCUGAGAGGCAAAGAGAACGAUCAGCAUUUCCCAAACUUAUUUCUCCACAGGAUCUUUUUUUACAUGGAGCGUCUCGUAGGACUGGCUUCUGAGGAACACAGCUGCAGCUGCAACCGACUUGGUUUUUGGGCCUGAGCCAGGGGCCUGGGCCAGAGGAGAGCAAUUGAGCACCCUGGCUGAGUGAGGGGUGAAUCUCAGGAGUUGAGGACAACUAUUUAGAGUAACACUGCCUCCAACCCCCAAGCCUGGUUCAAGGAAAGACUGAAGUGGGAGGAGGAGGAGCAAAGACACAUAACGUUUUUCUCUAUCACCAAAAGAAAACCUUUAAGGGAGCAGAGAAAAUGGCAAGAAAGAGAUAGAGUCUCACUAUGUUGCUCAGGCUGGU
rnacentral:lncRNA from 1 species